CCCCUGGAGGACUAGCGGUUAGGCCACAGCGCUCUCACCGCUGCGGCCUGGGUUCGAUUCCUGGCCAGGAAA
rnacentral:tRNA from 1 species